GAAGAAAAAUAUGAGAUUGUCUUAGAAUACAUCACCGAGUUUGAAAUAAAGAUGUGGAAGAAAAAAUGGAAUUCUUGCACCAAGAUCUCCUUCCUCUUCCAAUGAGUGCUUUCAAUCUUCAAUUCUUGGUGUUAAUCUUCUUAAAUUUCUCCCUUGAAUCUCCCUUCUUGUUGUUUUUCUCUCCAAUAUGUCCAGAACCCUUCAAAAGUAUGAGGAGGAUGUAUUUAUAUGUGCCUCCACGUUUUUCUCUUGAAGUAGGGUUUCUAUGGCUUUAAAAACGGCC
rnacentral:lncRNA from 1 species